AGAUUUGAAAGAGCACCAAGGACUCUUCCAAACUUGGACUUUAUAUAAUGGCCCUUUUACAAACAAAAACUAAGACUAACAGUGGGCUAACACAAGCCCAUUACACAUCAAAAUAAAAUACAAAUAAAACAAAAUAAAAAAAAAAUUGAAAUCCUAUGCUCCGGUGCUCUUGGUGCCCACAUUCACGUGAUCCACUUUGCUUCGUGUCAAUCUCAGUCCUGUCCAAUUAGAGAUGUUGCUGCUGCCACAAUCUGACCCAAACACCUUGUUCAAAUGAAGAUCCAUGUGCUCAACUAAGUUCCUAC
rnacentral:lncRNA from 1 species